CGCCUGUUUAACAAAAACAUCUUUUCUCGUUAGUUUUUGAAGUAUGGCCUGCCCGCUGACGUGAAGUUGAAGGGCCGCGGUAUUUUGACCGUGCAAAGGUAGCAUAAUCAUUAGUUCUUUAAUUGUGAUCUGGUAUGAAUGGCUUGACGAGGCAUGAGCUGUCUUGGAUAAGGAUCGUUUAGUUGAAUUUGGUUUUUGAGUUAAAAUUCUUAGAUGUUUUUAUGGGACGAGAAGACCCUAUAGAGUUUAACAUAUUUUGUAUGAUUUUUCAUUAGUUUGUUUUUAUUAUUUUGUGUGUAUGUGUUUUGUUGGGGUGAUGGGAGGAAUUUUCUUAACUCCUCUUUUUUUGUUACAUUUAUUUGUGUAUGUUUGUGAUCCAAUUAUUUUGAUUAUAAGAUUAAAUUACCUUAGGGAUAACAGCGUUAUCCCCCUUGAGAGUUCUUAUUGGCGGGGGGGUUUGCGACCUCGAUGUUGGAUUAAGGUUUAUUUUCGGUGUAGGAGCUGAAUUGAUUAGGUCUGUUCGACCUUUAAAAUCUUACGUGAUCUGAGUUCAGAACCGGA
rnacentral:rRNA from 1 species